ensembl:rRNA 5S_rRNA 5S ribosomal RNA
GCUUACGGCCAUACCACCCUGAGAACGCCCAAUCUCGUCUGAUCUUGGAAGCUAAGCAGGGGCGCCUGGUUAGUACUUGGAUGGGAGACCGCCUGGGAAUACCAGGUGCUGUAAGCU